AUUGAACGCUGGCGGCAGGCCUAACACAUGCAAGUCGAACGGUAACAGGAAGAAGCUUGCUUCUUUGCUGACGAGUGGCGGACGGGUGAGUAAUGUCUGGGAAACUGCCUGAUGGAGGGGGAUAACUACUGGAAACGGUAGCUAAUACCGCAUAAUGUCGCAAGACCAAAGAGGGGGACCUUCGGGCCUCUUGCCAUCGGAUGUGCCCAGAUGGGAUUAGCUUGUAGGUGGGGUAACGGCUCACCUAGGCGACGAUCCCUAGCUGGUCUGAGAGGAUGACCAGCCACACUGGAACUGAGACACGGUCCAGACUCCUACGGGAGGCAGCAGUGGGGAAUAUUGCACAAUGGGCGCAAGCCUGAUGCAGCUAUGCCGCGUGUAUGAAGAAGGCCUUCGGGUUGUAAAGUACUUUCAGCGGGGAGGAAGGGAGUAAAGUUAAUACCUUUGCUCAUUGACGUUACCCGCAGAAGAAGCACCAGCUAACUCCGUG
rnacentral:rRNA from 1 species